ensembl:snRNA U6 U6 spliceosomal RNA
GUGCUCACUUCUGCAGAACAUGUACUAAAAUUGGAAUGAUACAAAGAAGAUUCGCAUUGCCCGUGCACAAGGAUGUCAUGCAGAUCCAUGAAGUAUUCCGUAUUUUA